AGGCCCUUAUGUUUCAAGGUUGACGAGUUGGACUCCAAAUCCGACUGUGCAAGGUUCGAUUCCUUGAGGGUCUGCCA
rnacentral:tRNA from 1 species